rnacentral:rRNA from 1 species
ACGUCGACACCUACGGAGCAGCAGUGGGGAAUAUUGCACAAUGGGGGAAACCCUGAUGCAGCGACGCCGCGUGGAGGAAGAAGGUCUUCGGAUUGUAAACUCCUGUUGUUGGGGAAAAAGAGGAUGGUACCCAACAAGGAAGUGACGGCUAACUACGUGCCAGCAGCCGCAGUAAUCUGAGCGGGCUGGCAAGGC